UUAAAAAUAAGCUAAUUUAAGCUUUUGGGGUCAUACCUCAAAUAUAAAGGUAUUCCUUUUUUUUAAA
rnacentral:tRNA from 1 species